rnacentral:rRNA from 1 species
UACGUAGGGGGCUAGCGUUGUUCGGAUUCAUUGGGCGUAAAGGGCGCGUAGGCGGCGGGGUAAGUCUGGUGUGAAAUCUCGGAGCUCAACUCCGAAAUUGCACUGGAUACUGCUCUGCUUGAGGGUUGGAGAGGAGACUGGAAUUUACGGUGUAGCAGUGAAAUGCGUAGAGAUCGUAAGGAAGACCAGUGGCGAAGGCGGGUCUCUGGACAGUUCCUGACGCUGAGGCACGAAGGCCAGGGGAGCAAACGGG